rnacentral:lncRNA from 1 species
CUUGGCUAUUAAACGGAAAUUUUAAAUGGGAAGAAAAUUCUGCACUGGCUGCUAAAUUGUGUGUCAGCAGAAAGGGCGAAAAAGCAACGUGUGUCAUUCCUAUUAUCAUCUUGAAAUCCAUCUUCCCUCUACAUGCCAUGACAGUGGAUAAUCCCUGGUCUUUCACACAGCACGUGACAGGCGGGUGCCCAGCGAUUUAAUGCCUACCAACGCUCUUCAUGGCAGCUGCUGCUUUAAAUGGAAUUCCAGCACAAGUUGUGGCUUCUGCUGCCUGAGCCUCUUUCCCUUUCCCUUCUCUUUCUCCAUGCAGAAAAAAUGGCACCCACUGACAUUCAUCGACAGUUGCUGAACAGUUAUGGAGGCCCAACAGUGGAUGUGAGCACAGUGCUGCUGUGGGUGGUGCAUUUCAGCAGUGACAGUGGAUCACCUCGACUGGUGCAGAUUUAUCCAACGUGGCAUGCAGGCUCUAGUUCACUGCUGGCCAAAAAGCACAGCCAGUGGUGGUGUCUAUGUUGAAAAACAGUGCUUUGUGGCUGAGAAUUUGCUCUGUCUGUUAGUAUUAUUGUGCUCUUUGUAUCUGUUGUAUUUUCUGCGGAAAUAAAUAGGAG